rnacentral:rRNA from 1 species
CCCUACGGGAGGCAGCAGUGAGGGAUAUUGGGCAAUGGGGGAAACCCUGACCCAGCGACGCCGCGUGAGGGAAGACGGUCUUCGGAUUGUAAACCUCUGUCUUUGGGGACGAAAAAGGACGGUACCCAAGGAGGAAGCUCCGGCUAAAUACGUGCCAGCAGCCGCGGUAAUACGUAUGGUGCAAGCGUUAUCCGGAUUUACUGGGUGUAAAGGGAGCGCAGGCGGCGCGUUAAGCCUGGUGUGAAAGCCCGCGGCCCAACCGCGGGACUGCAUUGGGAACUGGCGCGCUGGAGUGCCGGAGGGGG